UGGGCUGUUCGCCCAUUAAAGCGGUACGCGAGCUGGGUUUAGAACGUCGUGAGACAGUUCGGUCCCUAUCCGCUGUGCGCGUAGGAAACUUGAGAAAGGCUGUCCCUAGUACGAGAGGACCGGGAUGGACGAACCUCUGGUGUGUCAGUUGUUCUGCCAAGAGCACCGCUGAUUAGCUACGUUCGGAAGUGAUAACCGCUGAAAGCAUCUAAGCGGGAAGCACGUUUCAAGAUGAGGUUUCCAGGCCCGCGAGGGCGAGAGGCUCCCAGCUAGACGACUGGGUUGAUAGGCCGGAUGUGGAAGCACAGCAAUGUGUGGAGCUGACCGGUACUAAUAAGCCGAUAACUUGACCAA
rnacentral:ncRNA from 1 species